AAAGUACUCCCUCCGUUCGGAAUUACUUGUCUUAAAAAUGUAUAAAAGUGGAUGUAUUUAGAACUAAAAUACAUCUAGAUACAUCCAUUCCUUCGACAAGUAAUUCCGAACAGAGGGAGUAAGUG
rfam:Triticum aestivum genome assembly, contig: Triticum_aestivum_CS42_TGACv1_scaffold_569752_7AS